ACUCAAAUGAAUUGACGGGGGCCCGCACAAGCAGCGGAGCGUGUGGUUUAAUUCGAGGCUACACGAAGAACCUUACCUGGGUUUGACAUCCAUGUGGUAGUUUGCCUGAAAGGGGAACGACCUUCGGGAGCAUGGACAGGUGCUGCAUGGCUGUCGUCAGCUCGUGUCGUGAGAUGUUCGGUUAAGUCCGGUAACGAGCGCAACCCUCGCCGUUAGUUACAAGUGUCUAGCGGGACUGCCCGGAGGAACUGGGAGGAAGGUGGGGAUGACGUCAAGUCAGCAUGGCCUUGAUAUUCAGGGCGACACACACGCUACAAUGGUCGGGACAAUGGGAAGCCAAGCGGCGACGCGGAGCCAAGCCAUCAAACCCGGCCUCAGUUCGGAUUGCAGGCUGCAACUCGCCUGCAUGAAGUCGGAGUUGCUAGUAAACGCGCAUCAGCCAUGGCGCGUUGAAUACGUUCCCGGGCCUUGUACACACCGCCCGU
rnacentral:rRNA from 1 species